rnacentral:rRNA from 1 species
UGCGAGUCGAGAGGGUUCGGCCCUCGGCAAACGGCUCAGUAACACGUGGGUAACCUACCCUCAGGACAGGGAUGACCCCGGAAAACUGGGGAUAAUACCUGAUAGGUGGAUAUGUCUGGAAUGACUUUCCGCUCAAAUGCUCUGGCGCCCGAGGAUGGGCCUGCGACCGAUUAGGUUGUUGGCGGUGUAAUGGACCACCAAGCCUGCGAUCGGUACGGGCGUUGAGAGACGUAGCCCGGAGAUGGGGACUGAGACACGGCCCCAGGCCCUACGGGGCGCAGCAGGCGCGAAAACUCCGCAAUACACGAAAGUGUGACGGGGGGACCCCAAGUGCUCUCGCGCAAGCGAGUGCUUUUGCGAAGUGUAAAUAGCUUUGCGAAUAAAGGCUGGGUAAGACCGGUGCCAGCCGCCGCGGUAACACCGGCAGCUUGAGUGGUGAUCAUUUUUAUUGGGCCUAAAGCGUCCGUAGCCGGUUUGGUAAGUCCUUGGGCAAAUCCUGUCGCUUAACGAUAGGAAUUCUGGGGAUACUGCCAGACUUGAGGCCGAGAGAGGUCGGAGGUACUUCAAGGGUAGCGGUGAAAUGUUAUAAUCCUUGGGGGACCACCAGUGGCGAAAGCGUCCGACUAGAGCGGGCCUGACGGUAAGGGACGAAAGCCAGGGGCGCGAACGGGAUUAGAUACCCCGGUAGUCCUGGCCGUAAACGCUGUG